rnacentral:tRNA from 1 species
GCCCUGUUGGUGGAAUUGGUAGACACGCAUCCUUGAGGUGGAUGUGCUGAAAGGCGUGAGGGUUCGAGUCCCUUGCAGGGUA